rfam:Triticum aestivum genome assembly, contig: Triticum_aestivum_CS42_TGACv1_scaffold_500079_6BL
GAUAUACUCCCUCCAUUCUGAAUUACUUGUCUUAGAUUUGUCUAGAUACGGAUGUAUCUAGCACUAAAGUAAGUCUAGAUACAUCUAUAUCUAGACAAAUCCAAGACAAGUAAUUCGGAACAGAGGGAGUACAUG